rnacentral:rRNA from 1 species
UACGAAGGGUGCAAACGUUGCUCGGAAUUAUUGGGCGUAAAGCGCGUGUAGCGGCUUUGCAAGUCGGGUGUGAAAGCCCUCAGCUCAACUGAGGAAGUGCGCCCGAAACCUGCAGAGCUUGAGUGCCGGAGAGGGUGGCGGAAUUCCCCAAGUAGAGGUGAAAUUCGUAGAUAGGGGAGGAACACCGUGGCGAAGGCGGCCACCUGGACGGUAACUGACGCUGAGACGCGAAAGCGUGGGGAGCAAACAGG